CCCCUCCAAUUUCCUUCCCCGUCAGAUCUAAACCCUGGUCUGAGUGGUUACAAAAAGAGAAAAAAUCAAAUGGAAACUGACUUCCCUGCAUUUUUGGCACAUGGGCGAGUUUCAAACAAAA
rnacentral:snoRNA from 1 species